rnacentral:rRNA from 1 species
GACGAACGCUGGCGGCGUGCUUAACACAUGCAAGUCGAACGGAAAGGCCCUGCUUUUGUGGGGUGCUCGAGUGGCGAACGGGUGAGUAACACGUGAGUAACCUGCCCUUGACUUUGGGAUAACUUCAGGAAACUGGGGCUAAUACCGGAUAGGAGCUCCUGCGGCAUGGUGGGGGUUGGAAAGUUUCGGCGGUUGGGGAUGGACUCGCGGCUUAUCAGCUUGUUGGUGGGGUAGUGGCUUACCAAGGCUUUGACGGGUAGCCGGCCUGAGAGGGUGACCGGCCACAUUGGGACUGAGAUACGGCCCAGACUCCUACGGGAGGCAGCAGUGGGGAAUAUUGCACAAUGGGCGGAAGCCUGAUGCAGCAACGCCGCGUGCGGGAUGACGGCCUUCGGGUUGUAAACCGCUUUCGCCUGUGACGAAGCGUGAGUGACGGUAAUGGGUAAAGAAGCACCGGCUAACUACGUG